rnacentral:lncRNA from 1 species
GACACAUGGAGGCUCCCAGGCUGGGGUCCGGCCUACACCACAGCUCAAGGCAACGCUGGAGCCUCAACCCCCUGAGCAAGGCCCGGGAUCAAACCGGUAUCCUCACGGCCACCAGGAGGCUUUGUUAACUGCUGAGCCACUACAGGAGCUCCGCACAGCACACAAGAUUCAACAUUAGCAGGCAUUACCGGCUGUAUCUCGGGUGAGCAGGUUCGACUUGACUUUAGAAACAUUUACACUAAGAGGUUUUAUAAAGACGUAUAAAAAGUAUUUGUUAAAAUUCAAUGCCCAAGGAUAAUUUUUAAAGCUCAGUAAAUUGCUCUGAUAAAGAACAUUAAAAACUAAGUGUUCCACCUUUAAAACUGAUCCUGGGAGUUCCCACUGUGGCUCAGCGGAAACAAAUCUGACUAGUAUCCAUUAGGACGCAGGUUCGAUCUCUGGCCCCCUCGCUCAGUGGGUUAAGGAUCCGGCGUUGCCAUGAGCUGUGGUGCAGGUCACAGAUGUGGCUUGGAUCUGGCGUUGCUGUGGCUGUGGUGUAAGCCAGCAGCUGUAACUCCGAUUUGACCCCCAGUCUGGGAACCUCCGUAUGCAGCCCUGGGGGGGAGGGGAACGGACUGUGAAUCUGACCUUCCUUCUCACGGGUCUCCAAGCCAAGCUGGCAUUUUGGUUUAUCAGGAAGACAACAGUGAAGGGAAACUCUGAAAACAAAUGCACCACCUUAGCUCAGGAUGCCCCACUUCCUUCCAGCUUCUCUUCCCACGUACCCGCCGCACGCACGUACCCGCUGCACGCACGUACCUGGUGCACACACGUACCCGCGGCACACAGCUGCGAUCCCUAUCGGUGACCGUCCCGCACACUCGCCACACCAGUGGGGGGAGAACACCCAUCAAGCAGACGUACCAGCAAGUAUUUAAGCGUGUCUCUAUUUCUCAGCUCUGCGAUUUUUCAAUUCAUCAUUACUUUAAAAAGCACUGCCAGCGUCUUCCUAGGUGACACUCACUGUGAACUCACAGCUCAUUAGUCAAGGCUCCUGAAUGAGCAGCGAACAGGCACCGCACCCCUGGCUCUUUGGGUGAAGCCCCAGUCCUAAGAUUCCGCGGGCCACGGGGAACAACCAUUUUUGGCCUUCUGACCAGCCUCCUCUAUCGGGCACCAGCGCCACGCUCGAAGACAACUGCCAGGCUCCUUCCUGCUGCGUUUCCCUCCCACCCAGGGUCCCUGACACCCUCCUCGGCCCCUGCCUUCAGAGUCACCACCCAGCUC